UACGUAGGGACCGAGCGUUGUCCGGAAUCAUUGGGCGUAAAGCGCGUGUAGGCGGCCACUUAAGUCCUGCGUGAAAUCUUGCGGCUCAACCGCAAGCGGUCGUGGGAAACUGGGUGGCUAGAGUGCGGGAGAGGAGAGUGGAAUUCCUGGUGUAGCGGUGGAAUGCGCAGAUAUCAGGAAGAACACCCGUGGCGAAGGCGGCUCUCUGGAACGCAACUGACGCUGAGACGCGAAAGCGUGGGGAGCGAACAGG
rnacentral:rRNA from 1 species